GUCACAAAUGGCUUGCGACGACCUGAGGAAACUGGAGCUGCUGUCAAGAAUAAAAGAAGCAGCAAUGCAACUGGGAGCUAACUGAACACAUCGGCACUGCUUGAAAACUCCCUGCAAUUUUCACGAAUAUUGGCAGCCUGCAUUUCAUUUUGAAAACAUAGUAAACUAUGACGUAGAUUAAAGUGAACCUGCUUGAAAAUUCAUAUUGUUUCUUUUUAAAUAGAGGCCUGAAAAUGUUACACUUGUUGUUUAAUCUCACAAAAUGAAAGCUGGCAAAUUUGCCUUAAAAUUUGUAGUGUGCAUAGUAGUGUGGUAGAAAAAGACG